rnacentral:lncRNA from 1 species
AUGGAUGGCAAAGUGGAUGGGGUUUCUGUAGAGCUCUCAGCUCCUCCUGCUUGGAAGACGAAGGUCUCUUCUCUCUAACACUCUUUUUGUUUACUCAACCAAAUUUUAUUUGUUUAUUUUUGGUACCAACCAGCCCUAUUUGCAUGCUAUUAACUGUUCUUGUAGCUUUAUGUUUGCUUCUAAUUCAAGGGUAUUUUGUUUCUUUUUGGUUUUUGGGUGCUGGGGUUGGUAUGAUUUUAGCUCUGUUUUUUCUUAAUUUGCUUCAAUUUUUUGCUGUUUGUUAGUGCUAUGUGGUAGAACUUUGUCUGAAAUUGCUUGCUUUCAAGGGUUGGGCUUUUUAUGCUUUUGUUUUUGUUUGCAAAUUAAUUUCUAAUUCAAUGCAGGCAGUAAUUUAUGGAUGCCGAAAUAAGGGCAGUAGCUUUUAAGGGAUGGGCUCUUGACUUGGCGUGUGCUGAUUAUUGUUGUAAAUUUUUGGUCUCUUGUUAGUGUAAAGUGUUUACUGAAUUUGGUGAUUGUCCAAAAAGUGUCGGUGCAAAAUAUUGGAAAGCUUCUUUAGGUGAAGUAUUCUGGAGAAAUACUUUACGCGAACACAUAUAUGCCAAGGAAUAUAUAUAAAUAUGUCCAGUAUUUUUAUUUAUUAGUGUUGUUAUUAUUGUUUCAGCAAAGUUGUAUUCCCUGGUAAAAAUGCUUAAUUUGUGCUCUAAGAUAUAGGAACUGCUUUAUCUGUAUGGAACCCUAGCUGGACUUUGUUAAAGGUUACAUCAUUUGGAUCAAGUACUUUUUGUUGGCAGUUUGUCUGAAUCUCUGCUAAUAUGUUGAAAAAUUCAUCCUCUUAGAAGUAAGUUGGAGCUAGUUCUGUAUAAAAGAAAUGUAAUUCUAUAAGUUCAGUAAUUGGAAGGUCUUGGGAAAUAAAUAGUACCUGAAUAUUAUUUGUUCUAGAUAGAUCUUGAUGGUUUCCUUCACAUUUACAAGUAUGGUAGACUUGCUAGAGGUGAGCUUGAACUUAGGAUCUUUUUAUUUUUUUCAGGUAACGAGGGAAACCCCCAUGAACUAUUCCGUUGUUGGGUGCAAAGUCUUAGGGCAAUCACCCAUAAACCGCAUAUCCAUGAACUAUAAGUUUUCUUCAGUUUGGCACCCUCGUGAUUCCCAAACCCAGAUUUUCUUAAAAAUUUGCAAUCCUGGUGAUUCCAUUUUUGUUGCUGGAUUCAAUCUUAUUAUUUAUUCUUAA